rnacentral:piRNA from 1 species
UAGGCUAUAGUCCCCUACAUUUGCCUUGGC